AUUUUUGAGUGGCUUCUCUAGGCAGGAGGUCUUUGAUUAAUCUCAGUUAGUGUUUCACUUUUAUGGGUUAGACCUAUAAUGCCAAAUGUAUAAUGCUGAUUAUGUUGUGAAUAAUACAGUUUUAGGAUUUGCGAACUUGAUGCUUGAGGUUUCUUGUCAUGUGGAAAAUCCAUAUGGGCUCCCUCUGGUGGGUGAAAGAUCAAUGGGGUCUACAAAUGUCUGUCAUUCCUACAUUAGGAACUCCUUUUAAUUAAAACAUAGAUCAGGUGUGGUGGCACACAUCUUUAAUACCAGCCCUCAAAUGGCAGAGGCAAGAGGAUCUCUGAGGUCAAGGCCAGCCUGGUCUAUAUAUUCUGUUCCAGGCCAGCCAGGACUUUGUAGUGAGACUCUGUCUCAAAAAACAAAACAGAAUAAUGAACAAACAACCUCCCGCCAAACCACAACAUAAAUAAGUAAAGUUAUCCUAAAGAGAAACUCCUUGAAAAGUCCUCUUAGAGAGGUAUAAACCCCAAGGGGUGAGAGGCAGACUUGUUGAAUGAACCUUGCAACUUAACACACAGAAAACUUUCGAAAUAGUUGACAUGGUAAAUGCUGAGAACUUUUUCUCUCCUGGCUUCUAGUUAUCUAAGUCGGGAGAUUCUUGCUUGUGUUUCUCCCUAUAUAUUGUGGUCUAGCUUAUGUCUGUUUGUCAAAAUGUUCUCAUCCUGGAACUGGCAACCCGGGCUCACCCAGUCAAUUUUUCCUUCCCUUUUCAAGAUGUUUCUACCUACUUAGAGUCAGUGAUAAGAAGGCUACUAAAACAAUCUGCUGCCUUUUAAGGGGCACUGUCUUCAGCUCUGAUUUUGUAAUCUAGGUAGAAGAGACAAGCAACAAGACAUAUGACUCAUGAGAACUGAGAAAGGAAUUAAAAGUGUAUGUUUUGAGUUGGAAGUCCUUUUGGCCCUAGGCAGUAAUUAGCUGUAUGGUCCUGCAGACCCCUACUCUCUGUACUCAUUGUUCUUAAUGAGAGGUUGUGCGUACAUGGUCCUUGGGAGCCUUUGCAGUAGGAUAGUCCCAUGGUUUGUUCAGUUUCUGACCUGAAAUUCCUAGAGUAUAUUUUAACAUUCUUCUGGAUGGCAACUGUUCAUUGCCUUGAGAUAUUUUCCCCAAGUCCCUCUAUGCUUAGAAAUUUUCAUCCAGAUUAAAAAAAAAAAAAAGAUUAUUUCAAACUUGGCAUUUUGCAAGUUUUUUUUUAACAAAUGAAUUUAAAUAAUGGUAUGUACUCUCACAAUGAACUACUGUCAUUAACAUACAUAAUUGAAGCUGGUUGUUUUAAAAUUUGAUCAUAAAGGUAGUAUAUGCUCAUUAAGCAGAACGGACAAAUAAGAAUGGGCAUUGUGUAUAACUUUCUAGACUCUUUAACCUAAAUGAACAUAAGGCUUUCCUACAAUACACCCCUGGUUUUGUUUUGCCUUUUCUGUACUCGUCUAUUCCACUGUGUUGCCCAUCAUCUUUCUAUGUCAGUAUGCAUUGCUAUAUUCCACUAGUUUAUUUGGCUGCUUGCCUAUUAGAAAUGUCUCAUAACUGAUUGACCUGACUACCUGUUGAAAUAUUGAAACUAACUGCUUCCAGCUUGGCACUGUUUUAAACAAAUGGAACAUUUUUACUAAAUUUGUUUCAGAUUUAUCUUAACUUCUUAAAAUACAGCAACUAGAAAUUUAGUUUGUUUUAUGUUUAAGUUUUUUUCUCAAAUAAAAAGUUUGUAUGUCCUGAUAUUGAUAAGAAGAAAUCGAUUACUGGAUCAUUUGAUAGCAUGAAGUUACAUUAGAAGUUCCUGUGAGAGAAUAUGGAAAAGGUGGUAACUAGUAGGUAGGCCUGGUCACUCAAGCCCAUAAUUCCAACUCCUGGGCGGCUCUGGCAGGAGAACUGCCACAGGUUUGAUGCUGCCUGGGCCAUAGUAAGUUCUGUGGAGCCAUAAAGAGCAAGUACAGGGGCAGGGGUGGAGGGAAGGGGGGUGGCCGGUAUAACAGUGGGUGCUACCAUGACAGGAAAGGACUCUGGCUCUCCUAGGCUUGAGGGCUCUUGUAGCCAGUGUUGUAAGGCAAGUAGGAGUGGGUGGGGUGAGGUUGAUGGCCUGAUCAUAGAAGUGAUCACACUGGAGGUGAUCCUGAAUCGAUUUAACGGCCACUUAAAAUAGAACAGAAGCAUUUACAGUCAUAGCAAAAAAGAACUUUUAGCAGUAACUUUGAAAAGAAAUGUAAAUGACCCAGUUCUGUAGUGAAAUAGAAGACCUGGGUAUAUAGAAAGACACUGUGAACUUGGGAGGGAAAGCAAGUAUUGUAGGGAUUAGAUAAUCUAAAUUAGCUUCUAAGUUUGAGUUCGUUCCCAUCAGGAUUCUAACAGAACUUUUCUGAGAAGAACAUGGAAAUAGUUGCAGAGUUCAUCUAGGAAGGUAGCAGCGAGGACAGGUAACUGACCUUUUCAAAACAGCAGAAAGGUAUGUGCUGGCAGAGCAGGGGUGCUGGCCUUCUCCUGCACAAAGCUUGCCACAGCUCUGCCUAACAGAUACAAGCAGAUGUGAUGCAUUCGUGAGGGUUUUAAGCCUGGGACUGUGUGCUUAAGAGUUAUCAUGAUUUCAAAGGAGGCAGAUAAAUCAUUCUUAUAUGUCUUAGUGUACAUACAGUGUGAAUGGACUAGAGAUUUAGUUAGG
rnacentral:lncRNA from 1 species